GUUUAUGUGUGGCAUCUUGAGUAAAGAAGUUCUGAGUAAAAACGUUUUCGUUGAAUACCGCUUCCUUGCCGAGCCUUAAUUAGUGCCUCAUGCAGUAAUGUCUCUGGUUUCUCUGUAAGUCAGCCCUCGGGCUAUAUAAACACUCUAAGGAAUUUGCAAAAUGGCAAAGAUUAAAGGUCAGGUUAAGUGGUUCAACGAGUCUAAAGGCUUUGGCUUUAUUACUCCUGCAGACGGCAGCAAAGAUGUGUUCGUACACUUCUCUGCAAUUCAGGGUAAUGGCUUCAAAACUCUGGCUGAAGGCCAGAACGUUGAAUUCGAAAUCCAGGAUGGUCAGAAAGGUCCAGCUGCAGUUAACGUCACUGCUAUCUGAUUAGCCGCCUGAUGCGGUGCUAAGCACCUCUGAUUCGGUACAGUAAAGCCCCGGCAUUUUGCCGGGGCUUUUCUU
rnacentral:sRNA from 1 species